GACGAACCACACGAACGUUAUUCGGAAUUACUGGGCUUAAAGGGUGCGUAGGCGGCGCGGUAAGUAGGGUGUGAAAUCCCUCGGCUCAACCGAGGAACUGCGCUCUAAACUACCGUGCUUGAGGGAGAUAGAGGUAAGCGGAACUUAGGGUGGAGCGGUGAAAUGACGUUGAUAUCCUAAGGAACACCGGUGGCGAAAGCGGCUUACUGGGUCUCUUCUGACGCUGAGGCACGGAAAGCUAGGGUGAGCGAACGGG
rnacentral:rRNA from 1 species